rnacentral:sRNA from 10 species
GAGCAAAAUGAACUAGAAACCAAAGACAAAUUUUCCCCCUACGAGAAACCAACCCAGCUCCUACAAAUUUUCCAAAAAAUUAAAGUACAAUCCAAAGACCCAACCCAAAAAAAAAAAGCAGAAACAGAAACACAAGGCUCCUCCUUGAUAAAUCAACGUACUAACCAGACAUGCCCCCGCCAGCGAAUCGGGGGGAUGUCGUGUAAUUACCAGGUAUUUUGUUUAAAUUCGUUAUUCUUGAUUUACGGUUGGCUUAAAGGCUGUUGAAGAAUCUCAGAAGGACACUAAUCGAGUAAGCUCUAAAAGAAAUUUUGCGAUUCCCAUUGAAUCCAGAUUGCAUUCUUCACUUCUGAAUGUUCUGAUCGCAUCUCUCUGUCUUGGAAACUUCAUUUGAAAUUAAUGUGUUGUGUACUUGAAUCUAGUUGUUGUUGUUGUUGGGAAAAUUGCAUGAGAAGCAAGGGCAAUAGUUGAGAAAUCAAGGCAGAAUCAGAGUGCCUUGAGGAAAGAGUAGGAAGACUUAAUGGAAGUUAUGUGCGACCGUGAUGGGAGCCUGUUGAUUAUGAGAAGAAAGGGGUGCUGCUCUUUAUAUCGAUUUUCCCUCUACUUUUCCUUUUUUUACAUUUGAAUGUUGUAGGUAGGCUGCUCUCUUAGAGAAGAAGAUGAUGGAAGUUAGGUUGGCUAAGUUAAGUAAUCCAGCUUUAGAUAACAAUGCCAAAGGGGACACAGGUGGAACAAUCAAUCAGUCAGUACAGGAGAGGGUCACAUGGCUGAAGAAAAGACAAAAAGAUUAACAAAUGAGAAGGUCAUAUUGGAACAGACGAUUUCUGGACUAGAAUGCAAGAAAGAUGAAGAGACAGGCACUCAAAAUGUAGGUGAAAAUCCUCAAGAAGAGCCUUGAGCAAGAAUGGAAACCCUUAAAGCUUUUUCAAGUCUCCGAGCUUGAAAAGGGUUACAAAAGAGUUGGCUGUUGCAGAUUUUGCUGCAGUGCAGAAUGAUUAGAGGAACCGAGGGGAAUGAAAGAGGAUAUUGAUAGAAAGAAUGAGCAAACUGCUGCUAUCUUGAAGAUGCAAGGGGAAAGGUGGAGGGUUUCUUAAGAGUGAUGCAGAUACAGAUUAAUUCUGCUGGAAAAUCAAGUUCGAGAAAAGUUCACAUUUGAGGAUAUGUUGUGUUUCCAAAAGGCAAAACUUGAUCAAAGAAUGGGAGCUGAUGUAUUUAUGUGCAUCCUCCAUGCCUCCUAUCAAAGUCAUAGGUGGAUAUUUAUCUGAGUAUGUUCACAAUGUAGCGCACGGUGCAAGCACCGACUCUGAGGUCCAAACUCUUGCACUAAAUACGUUCAAUGCUUUGAAGCAUUCUGUCAAAGCUGGCCUCUGUAUUACAAUACCAGCACGUCAGGAGAUUGAAAGCUAACAACUAUAGUGUUUUACUUGGAUGAAAUUUUUGGAGAAAUAAUUCAGAAAACAUGGCAACGACUGUGCCUGAUGCUGUAGAGAGGAAUACAUUGGGUUAGAUGAUAAUAAAUAUAUUGCCGAUUUGCUGGCGGAAUUCAAGGCAGCUAAAGGGGAAAUAUUACACUGUAAACUCAUAUUUACAAAGAAGCCAUUUCAGGAGUCAAAUGAAGUGGUAACGGACCCAAUGUUUGUACAGCUGUCCUAUUUUCAGGUAUGUGAUCUGGUUUGAAUCAGUGUACAACAGCUUUAACAUGAUUGAUAUAUUUCUAAACUGAUACUUUAUACCGCUACGACAUGUUUAUAUUUUGGGCAAUUAUCCUAAUGGAAGGGAUGAUGCUGCACAUUGUCUGCUUUGCAGCUCUUGGUUGAGAUCGGAUUCGUUGGUAGCCCUGAAUUGUGCACAUAAGUUCUCUUAUCCAGACUUCCUUUUGUCUAGCUAUUUGAACUUCCAAUACAUGUAUCGAUACUGUUUUAUUUCCUACUGUUUUUGGUGUCAUAAGCAUUACUGAAUUGUUCUUUCGCUUUGGGGAUUUGAGUUUUAAGAAAAUUUGCUGAGUAAGGUAAUAUCAUUUCAGUCACUAGAAUACUUUAUGAUGCCUCUAUCUAUUAAACAUUUACUCGCAAAAUUAAUUUU